rnacentral:rRNA from 1 species
GACGAACGCUGGCGGCGCGCCUAACACAUGCAAGUCGAACGAGAGAGAGGGAGCUUGCUUCCUCAAUCGAGUGGCGAACGGGUGAGUAACGCGUGAGGAACCUGCCUCAAAGAGGGGGACAACAGUUGGAAACGACUGCUAAUACCGCAUAAGCCCACAGGUCGGCAUCGACCAGAGGGAAAAGGAGCAAUCCGCUUUGAGAUGGCCUCGCGUCCGAUUAGCUAGUUGGUGAGGUAAUGGCCCACCAAGGCAACGAUCGGUAGCCGGACUGAGAGGUUGAACGGCCACAUUGGGACUGAGACACGGCCCAGACUCCUACGGGAGGCAGCAGUGGGGAAUAUUGCACAAUGGGGGAAACCCUGAUGCAGCGACGCCGCGUGGAGGAAGAAGGUCUUCGGAUUGUAAACUCCUGUUGUUGAGGAAGAUAAUGACGGUACUC